CCCAAAGGCCCUCAUGGGCGUUUCCUCCGUGACUAAGCCACCCUUUGGGGUGGCUUUUUUUUCGGCUACA
rnacentral:sRNA from 1 species